AGCUUUGCGCAGUGGCAGUAUCGUAGCCAAUGAGGUUUAUCCGAGGCGCGAUUAUUGCUAGUUGAAAAAGAUCUCAAUGCCUAAGUUUCAUCUGAUUAAAGUAGAAUUCCGGGGUAUGAACCA
rnacentral:snRNA from 1 species